rnacentral:piRNA from 1 species
UGUAUACAAAGUCAGGUGUGAUGGAUAUAC